rnacentral:rRNA from 1 species
AUACGAAGGGGGCAAGCGUUGUUCGGAAUCACUGGGCGUAAAGCGCGCGUAGGUGGAUCAAUUAGUUGAGGGUGAAAUCCCGGGGCUCAACCUCGGAACUGCCUUCAAUACUGUUGAUCUUGAGACCGAGAGAGGUGAGUGGAAUUCCUAGUGUAGAGGUGAAAUUCGUAGAUAUUAGGAAGAACACCAGUGGCGAAGGCGGCUCACUGGCUCGGUUCUGACGCUGAGGUGCGAAAGCGUGGGGAGCAAACAGGAUUAGAAACCCUAGUAGUCC